UAGGAAGUGGUGUAGCGGAAGCACGAAGAGUUUUGUCCUCUUAAGCUAAGGUUCGAGCCCUUACUUUCUAA
rnacentral:tRNA from 1 species